GGCUCUGUGGUGUAAUGGUAACAUAGGUGCCUCCAAAAUACUUGCUUGCGGUUCGAUUCCGUGCAGGGCCGCCA
rnacentral:tRNA from 1 species